rnacentral:rRNA from 1 species
GACGAACGCUGGCGGCGUGCCUAACACAUGCAAGUCGAGCGAGUGAAUCUCCUUCGGGAGUGAAGCUAGCGGCGGACGGGUGAGUAACACGUGGGCAACCUGCCUCAUAGAGGGGAAUAGCCUUUCGAAAGGAAGAUUAAUACCGCAUAAGAUUGUAGCUUCGCAUGAAGUAGCAAUUAAAGGAGCAAUCCGCUAUGAGAUGGGCCCGCGGCGCAUUAGCUAGUUGGUGAGGUAACGGCUCACCAAGGCGACGAUGCGUAGCCGACCUGAGAGGGUGAUCGGCCGCAUUGGGACUGAGACACGGCCCAGACUCCUACGGGAGGCAGCAGUGAGGAAUAUUGCGCAAUGGGGGCAACCCUGACGCAGCAACGCCGCGUGAGUGAGGAAGGUUUUCGGACUGUAAAGCUCUGUCGAGCGGGAAGAAGUGUACCAUGGCUAAUAUCCAUGAUAUUUGACGGUACCGCUAGAGGAAGCACCGG